AGGACUUCACCACUGCGCCAGGCCUGCCCUCAUAUUCUGGCAACACCUCACUUCUAAAAAUCAUGGGCUUGUUCAGGAUUAUUUGGUGAGCGCAAACAGAUUGCCCUCGGGGUGUGUCACCGACCUGGCGAGCUCUUGUGCGAGGAAGAGAUGGCCUUAAGUUGGGUUUAGUAAGAAGAGUUGGUAAUGGAUGCACAACCGAAGUUUGGCAUGAUAGAUGAAUCAUGUGGAAGCAUCUCUGAAACCUAUAGGGUGUUAAACACCGGUUCAGUUUGUUUCUGAUUUGAUAGAGGAAGGGUCAAAUCAAUGGAAUGAAGAGCUAGUAUGAGAGGUGUCUAUGCCUCCUCAUGCUGAUCUCAUUAUCCAACUACCACGACCGCUGUGAGAUAUUGAUGAUUUUCGGGCAUGGGUGUGGGAGAAAUCUGGUCCUUUCUCAGUGAGACCAGUGUCCAGCAACUGUUGGAUAAUGAACAGAUUGAACAACAGCCGUCCAGUUUGUCAUGUAGGGAAGAUGUUUGGAGUGCAGACUGUGGCAAUGACAACGAGUCUCUGUUCCAUUCUCUGGUUAGGUGUGCACAUGCCAAGCUGUUUUCGAAUGCAGCGUUAGAAAUUUUCGAUUUAAAAGCUCCCGCGUCUGCAUCUAGGCACUUGGGCCAUGGAUAUUUUGGACUCGGCAAUGGUUAACAAGAGGGAUUCAGCGGUUAUCGUCUCUGUUAUGUGGGCGAUUUGGAGCAGCAGGAAUAAAUACAUGCAUUAGGCGAUUCAAUAUCAACCGCUGCCAUCCAUGCAUCUGGUGGAGGCAUUCGUGAAGGCUCUGGAAGUGCCGCAGAAGGAGAAAAUGUGACGAAAUACCGGAGGGAGAGAUGGAGACCUCCUAAUUACAGGUGAACUAAAAUCAAUACUGAUGGUGCCCUGGACGCUGAGCAUGGUGUUGCUGGAGCGGGUUUCAUGGCGCACAAUCAUGAGGGAGUGUUUGUAGCAGCGAGGCCGAGGUAAUACAACAAUAUCACCAUUGCCGUGAUCCAUUGCUGCUUGCUUGGGUACAGGGUUUUCUGAAAGUGCAGAUUGAGACUGGUUGCCUUGCUGUUUUAACGAUGUGGCACAGUGGCAGCAGGGUCAGAAAUCUGAGGGGAUUCGUGAUCCAAGAGAUGAAGGAGUAUGCUGAGGCUUUUCAGGAGUUUGAGUCGAUCUUUGCAAGGAGAGAAGCAAAUCAAGCGGCACACCCCCGUGCAAAGGAACUUCUGAGUAUUUGAGUCUGUGGAGGUGUUUGGUUCCAGAGAAACACCGCAAACGUAAACGUAAUGGAGUUACGCUGGUACCGUAAACUGUCAAGAUCCUGGUUCUAAGUCACACGGAUCUAGCCUGUAACACUUCAUAAGUCACACCGAUCUAGCCUGUAACACCUCAUAUCACUUUGCGGCCUCACGCACGGUAUUCCCACGGGUGUCGCCUUACCAUGGCCCGGGACCAUUUGCGCCUUUUGGCUCACGUAUAUGAUAGUGUCGCUAGCAUCCAUAUGACAGAGAAUCCGGGCCGACAUGACUAGUCGUGAACCCAAAGUGGCACUAACUUACGGGGACAGGCAUACAUGAAUCAACAUCGAGCAUGUCGGUCAGCAGCGUGCGAAUCCGGGCUGUAGCACUGGGCUAACAGGACUCCGGGAACCCGGGCUGUAGCAGGCUAGGCAGGACUCCGGAUGUCACCGCGUGACAUUUCCUCGAAGGGACAGACACAGGAACGAAGUGAAUCACAUGCCGGCCAGUCAAGUGUUCCGGAGCAGUAGUGCUGGGCUAGCAGGACUCCGGUGAACCGGGCUGUAGCGGACUACUAUGGCUCAUGGAAGCACAAGACUACAUUUCCCCAUAAGAGAGGCUACCAAGGAUAAACAACUAGGUUGUCGGAUCCCACACAUACCAAGCAUUUCAAUCAUAUACACAAUAUGCUCGAUAUGUGUAAAUACAACAUGCCAUCACAACAUAACUCUACGACUCAAUAUUUAUUCAUUAGGCUCCGAGGAGCCAAGUAUUACAAACAUGGGCCUCAUGACCCCAACAUACAGAUCAUACAAGCAACAAGCACAUGCGGAAGCUUAACUUGUCUGAGUACAGACAACUACAAAUGAAGAAGGCUGAGAAGCCUGACUAUCUACAAGACCCUGCCGAGGGCACAAGAUCGUAGCUGAGGUAACACGCUAAACGUCGAAGUCCACACGACACUACUAGCGAGACUGACGUCUCUCUGCAAAAACAUAAAAUAGGCAAACGUGAGUACAAAUGUACCCAACAAGACUUACAUCAGAACUAACUACAUAUGCAUCGGUAUCAACAAAGGGGGUAGUGGAGUUUAACUGCAGCAAGCCAGCUUUGACUCAGUGGCUAACCUGAACUACGACUGCAAGCAACUCUUUGAGGUGGCGCACACGAGUCCACAUAUUCACCAAUCAAUACACCACUAUGGAUCCGCUCCCGUCUACAUAUGAGAACGCCAUCCAUAGCACUCACGCUUAUCUUGCCCAUUUUAGAGUAUCCACUUCAAGUUAUCUAUGAACUGUACAGGCAACCCAGAAGUCCUUUACCGCGGACACGGCUAUUCGAAUAGAUCAUUUAUAACCCUGCAGGGGUGUACUUCUUCACACAUGUUUCCACCACUUAGCGUCUGCACACGACAUGUGCUCGGCAGACUUCAAGCGAAAGCCGACGUGGGUGUAGACCACGACCUAACUAACCACACAAGUCUCUAGUCCAGGUUUAUCACCUAUUCGGGUUCCAUCCGCGAGGAGAUCCGGCCGGAGUUUCGCUCACAGCCCCAAACGAUGUGUGCAGGGUUCCCGAGACACCAAACGGGCGCUCGGUACACCGUGCCACGUGCCUACCGCAUCACAGCCCACCCCUCGGGUCAGCGCUGCGCACGGCCUCCAGCAUACUACAAACACCAGAAACUACUUGCAACUCCUGGACAAAGGACACGGGGGGUUAAUAAGUCGAGCGGGGUCAUAUUUCAGGGUCCAACGUGUGGUAGUAGCUGUUCAUGGAUCACAAACACAGAACUCAGUUCCUGAGGACGACUGCAAUGAGACAACCCACCAUGUACUCCUACAUGGCCUCUCACCGCUACCUUUACCAAAUUGUGUUCACACACUUAGCUCACACACAGUAGGACAUGUUCACACACCUCCAAUUCAUCCCCGAUGAAUCAGACCUGACACAACUCUAAGCAGUAGCAGGCACGGCAACAAGCAUGAAUGAGUAGACACAUCAGGGCUCAAACAACUGCUACUCAUGCUAGUGGGUUUCAUCUAUAUACUGUGGCAAUGACAGGUCAUGCAGAGGAUAAGGGGUUCAACUACCGCAACAAGUAACAGAUGAAUCAUUGUUGUCCUAAUGCAGUAAAAGAGAGCAGGAGCGAGAGAGUGGGUUUGUAUCGGAAUGAACAAGGGGUUUUAGCUUGCCUGGCACUUCUGAAGAUAGCAUUGAGUCUUCAUUAGUGUCAACGAUCACAACGUCGGAACAUCGUCUACCGAGAGGGGACAAAUACCGGCAACAGAGAAGAAAUACAAUCAAUGCAAUGCACAAUAUGAUGCAUGAUCAUGACAUGGCAAUAUGAAUGUGUUUUGGGCUAAUGCAAGCUAGAACAGAUUGAGAUGAGUCCAUUUGAACCAAAGAUUCAAAUGCAUUAUCUUGUUUCAUCUAAACAGCAAGGUUAGGUUGCUCUAACAUGCAUGAAACCAGUACAGAUGGAAAGAUUGGAUUUUUCUGAUAAUUUUUCAUAUAUAACACUUUGCAUUUGGAGUUACAGAUUAAUUUCUAUGAUUUUUAGAAGUUAGCACUAUUUUCUGGGAUUUCCUGAAUAAGAAUAAAUCCAGGAAAAGGUUAUCUGCGUCAGCAUGACGUCGGAGUGACGUCAGCAGGUCAAAGGCGCCAGCCCAGGUCAAACCUAACCAGUUGGGCCCACAGGUCAGUGACUCAGUUAGUUAACUGGGUUAAUUAGGGUUAAACUAAUUCUAACAAAAUGUCAGCAGGGCUGGGCCCACAUGUCAGUGGCUCAGGGUUAGUUUUGCGAGGGGAUUAACACCUAACAACGGUGAUUAGUACUAACUAACACCUAACUAAUCCAGUUAGGGCCGGCCCCACAUGUCAUAGUCUCUGGGCGGGGCCCAGCCGGGGUCAAAGUGGGUCAAACCCACCGGCGACUCGACGCCGGCGAGGCCCGAGAUGGCGACGCGGCUCGGAAAACGCCCACAGGGCACGGACGAGGCCGUUCUUGGGCUCGUUGGAGAGCCCUUGCAGGCGCGCGUCGAGUGGUGGUGGAGGCCGGGCCUAUGGUGGCCGGAGCCGACGACGGCGAGCUCCAAGGCGGCGGCCGGAGUUCGGGCAACGACGGGUUCGGCGCUACGGUGCAUGGGAGGAGGAGCUGGUGGGCGCUACGGGCUCCUGGGAGUGCACUGAGUGCAGUGACGCGCUCGGUUUGGACGGAGGCGAACCAAAACGGCGAUGGCGACAAGUCUGGCGCCGGUGAGGUUUUGGUAUCGACGGAAACGAGGGCUACGAUAAGCUAAUGGACAUGGGAGUAGGGGGGAUUAGUAGAGGAGCUCACGACGAGUGCAGAGGUGGCCUCGGCGUGCUUGGGGAAGCACCGGAGCGAGUGGGGCGACGAGAGGGAUCUCUGGUGGCCGGUGACGAAGAUGAUGAAGAUGGCGUCGAUGCAGGGCCUCCGGCAAGGCGUGGCUGUACGGAGAGGACGAGGGAGGCGUGGCGAUGCUCGUGGACACGUCGGAGAGGCUCGGGAAUGGCUGCGGCUGCGGCUAUGGCGAACGGCGGCGGCGGUGGCGUUCGGUGGUGAGAGGGAGAGAGAGCAGAGGAGGGGAGAGGCACGGGAGAGAGUGAGAGAGUGGUCGGGGCUGCGUGGCGUCGCGAGGGAGGCCCAGGGCGACGAGGGGGAAGCGGCAGGAAGCAGGAGGUGGCCGGGGCGCGUGGGCGCGCACGGCGGCCACACGCCUCUCAUCCUACUGGCGAGAGGUGGAAGAUGACUGGCAGCGGCGCUGGGCUGGGCCGGCCAGGUGGGCUGCGCCAGGUAGGUGGCCAGGUGAGUCUCCGCUCUUUUCCUUUCUGUUUUUCUUUUUAUUUGUUUUUGUUCUGUGUUUUGAAAUAGUAGAAAUACUAUUCCAUUUAGGAAGAACCUGAAAAUAUUCAGAGGCACAUUUGAAAAUAUUCUCAACAGCCUAAAAAUACCUUCAAGAUUAUUUGGGCGUUUUAAAAUAUUUAUAGGAUUUAAAUUGCCCAAAUGCAAAUACUUAUGGCUUGGUGCAAAAAUCCAGAAUAGCCUCCGAAAAUAUGAAACCAUUUUUGACAGAGGGUUUAGCGAGGACCAAAGAUGGUGAACAUUUAUGAAGGGCAUUUUGGGUUCAUUGAAAUUUCAAUUGUUGGAACCUAGUAUUUCAAAGGGGUGUUGGGGUUUGUUGGUCCCCAUUUUAGAUUUAAGAAAAAAAAAUUAGACAUGAUGCACACAUGAAGCUACCCUGGUGGAAUGCCAGAAGCUAGGGAUGUGACAUAAACGAACGAAACUCAAACUUGUUUGGUAGCGGACUGUAACGUAAUCAAUUCGUCUGCUGAAAUAAAAAAAAGCUAACAAAUCUCAAAAGAGC
rnacentral:lncRNA from 1 species